UGUCUUGUAAUUGGAAUGAUGGUGACCCAAACCCUCACCAGAGUAGCAAUUGGAGGGCAAGUCUGGUGCCAGCAGCCGCGGUAAUUCCAGCUCCAAUAGCGUAUAUUAAACUUGUUGCAGUUAAAAAGCUCGUAGUUGUAUUUUUGCGUUAGCGGUUUGACCAUUUGGUUGGUUAUUUCGUUUUCGCUUUUGGGAAUUUCCCUUUUUACUUUGAGAAAAUUAGAGUGUUUCAAGCAGACUUUUGUCUUGAAUACUUCAGCAUGGAAUAAUAGAGUAGGACUUUGGUUCUAUUUUGUUGGUUAUUGAACCUUAGUAAUGGUUAAUAGGAACGGUUGGGGGCAUUCGUAUUUAACUGUCAGAGGUGAAAUUCUUAGAUUUGUUAAAGACGAACUACUGCGAAAGCAUUUGCCAAGGACGUUUCCAUUAAUCAAGAACGAAAGUUAGGGGAUCGAAGACGAUCAGAUACCGUCGUAGUCCUAACC
rnacentral:rRNA from 1 species